AAGUGUAGCCAAGCAAGUGCUCUCUCCAACUCCAAUUGCCGAUCUUAUAUUUCUCUUUGUACGCAUAUGUUAUACUUCAAAGAGUGACAGUAGAUAAAAAUUUGACACCUUAACUUUGAACACCUAUAUCUCCUUUACAAAAACUCGAAAUCACACAAAUUCUUCACCCAAAUUAUACCCAAAACCCUGAAUUUUUUGAUCCUAGUCUCCAAAGCUCGCACAACUUCGAAAGAGAAACCCUAAUCCCUAAUAAGG
rnacentral:lncRNA from 1 species